UCUUCGCUAGUAUAUCGGUUAGUAUAAUCGCCUCUCAAACUCGAGAGAUCCUCAGCCUCCUCGGAGGCUGAAAAGGGUGCGCGAUAGAGCAGGGUUCGACUCCCUGGCGGAGAA